GGAAACUAUUACUUGUAAAGUAUGGUAAUUAAUUUUUCAUUACCUCAAAGCCAAGAAAUGGAGCCCACUUGCAUUUAUUAAGAUUGCUGCAUGAGAAACAUGUUCCUUCUGGAAAAAAAAAAUCCAGGCUGUGCAAGCAUGGAGCCCACAUCACUUUGCUUCUUUUUUCCUGUUCCACGGCUCAUCUCCAAAGAUCCUGUUCACAACCUCCCAGGCCAUGUAAUGCUGGAGAUAACUGUGCCUAGUAACAUUGCUACAAUGCUGCCAUACAGCUGUGCAUGGGUGAUGCCUGUCAUUUUCAAUAUAACUGUGAACAGUGAAGCAAGAUGGAGGUGUGGUAUGGUAUGAAGUUGUACCUUGACCUAGAUGUUAGAUUCUGCAACUUAUGCAAGGUGAUUUUGCAAUCAUGUAUAGUAAUGAUGUUGAAGUUUCAGGAUGACCAGACUGGAAGCAGCAGAGACUUUGAAAAUGCCUCUUUAGGCUUCCUGCAGGAUGUCACUGUAGGCAAGUAGAAGGUCUUCACCACUUUGAGCAUGUGUCCUGCGAGGACCUGGAGAUCUGAGGAGCCACCCGCAUCCCCUACCCCAAACAGCUGACAUCUUUCUUUCCUUCAU